UUAAUUUAUAAAAGUAAUUUAAAAUUUUAAUGUUUUAGUAUUAAUUAAAAAUAAAUUUAAAGAUUUAUAGUUUAUUAGUAUUGUGAAAGAAAUUAAUUAAAUUUUUUAAAGAAUAAAUAUUAGUACCUUUUGUAUCAGGGUUAAUUAAAAUUUUUAAUUUAUUUUAAAUUCUCAAAAUUUAUAGAGUUAAUUUUAUUAUUAAUUUAUUGUUAAAUAAAUAUUUAAAAAAUAUUAUUAGUUUAGAAAUUUAAUUCGUUAUAUUAUAUUUAGUUAUUUAAGAUUUAAAUUUAAUUUAAAAUUUUAAAAGUUUAUGAUUAAUUUGAAUUAUCUAAAUUUUAAAAUUAAAUUAUUUUAGGGAUAAGCUUGAAAUUUUUAUAUAAUUAAUUUUAAUGAAUAAUAAUUAAUAGGAUUAGAAAUUUUUAUUUUAAGUUUGUAAAAAUUUAUUAUUUUAAAUAUUUUAAUUUAUUAAAAUUUUAUUUAUUUAUUAUAUUAAAUUUUAUAAAUAAAUUAUUUAUUUAUAGUAAUAAUGAUUAAAUUAGUAUAAUUGAAAUUUAUAAAUUAUGAAUUCGGCAAUGAUUAUUUUCAUCUGUUUAACAAAAACAUUGUAUUAAGAUUUAUUUAAUAUAGGAUCUGCUCAAUGAAAUAUUUAAAUAGCUGCAGUAUUUUGACUGUGCAAAGGUAGCAUAAUAAUUAGUCUUUUAAUUGGGGACUUGUAUGAAAGAUUUGAUGAGAAAUAAACUUUAUUAUUUAUAUAGUUAAAAUUUUAUUUUUAAGUAAAAAAGCUUAAAUAUUUUAAAGGGACGAUAAGACCCUAUAAAACUUUAUAAAUAUAAAUUUUUAAUUUUUUUUUGGUUUAAUAAAUAUUUAAAUAUUUAUAUUUAUUUUAUUGGGGUGAUAAAAAAAAAUUAUUAACUUUUUUUAAAUUUUUACAUUAUUUAAUGAAAUUUUGAAUUAAAAUUUUUAGUUGAAGGAAAAAGUUACUUUAGGGAUAACAGCGUAAUUAAUUUUUUAAGUUCAAAUUUGAAAAUUAGUUUGCGACCUCGAUGUUGAAUUAAGAAUAAUUUUAGGUGCAAAAUUUUAAAUAUUAGGUCUGUUCGACCUUUAAUUUCUUACAUGAUUUGAGUUCAAACC
rnacentral:rRNA from 1 species